rnacentral:rRNA from 1 species
GUAACGGGGCUAAACCAUGCACCGAAGCUGCGGCAGCGACACUAUGUGUUGUUGGGUAGGGGAGCGUUCUGUAAGCCUGUGAAGGUGUACUGUGAGGUAUGCUGGAGGUAUCAGAAGUGCGAAUGCUGACAUAAGUAACGAUAAAGCGGGUGAAAAGCCCGCUCGCCGGAAGACCAAGGGUUCCUGUCCAACGUUAAUCGGGGCAGGGUGAGUCGACCCCUAAGGCGAGGCCGAAAGGCGUAGUCGAUGGGAAACAGGUUAAUAUUCCUGUACUUGGUGUUACUGCGAAGGGGGGACGGAGAAGGCUAUGUUGGCCGGGCGACGGUUGUC